AUUGAACGCUGGCGGCAUGCCUUACACAUGCAAGUCGAACGGCAGCACGGGAGCAAUCCUGGUGGCGAGUGGCGAACGGGUGAGUAAUAUAUCGGAACGUGCCCGGUCGUGGGGGAUAACGUAGCGAAAGCUACGCUAAUACCGCAUACGAUCUACGGAUGAAAGCGGGGGAUCGCAAGACCUCGCGCGAUUGGAGCGGCCGAUAUCAGAUUAGGUGGUUGGUGAGGUAAAGGCUCACCAAGCCGACGAUCUGUAGCUGGUCUGAGAGGACGACCAGCCACACUGGGACUGAGACACGGCCCAGACUCCUACGGGAGGCAGCAGUGGGGAAUUUUGGACAAUGGGCGCAAGCCUGAUCCAGCAAUGCCGCGUGCAGGAUGAAGGCCU
rnacentral:rRNA from 1 species